rnacentral:lncRNA from 1 species
GGGAAAGAUGUACUAGGGUUUGGGAAAGCCCUAGGGGUAUGAAGCAUCCCCAUAUAAGUAGAGACUAAAUGUGAUACAAAUAUAAGUCCCAAGAGGCUGAUAACACAUCUAUUCAACAGAUGGUUCAAAAACCGUACAACUCCCGAAGGAGCGGGCGGGCAAGCCACACCCAAAGGAGAACUAAACCAACAAUGAUACAGAUCCAAGUUGCAGUCCAGACGGACUUCGGGCUACAAUCGGAACUAAGCGACAGCGAAAGCAUUCUGCAAAGGCCAACACCACAGGCAGCGUUGGGUGCGGAAGCAACCUCCUACUCGAAAUCCUCGAUGACGAAGUCCGG